rnacentral:rRNA from 1 species
GACGAACCGUGCGAACGUUGUUCGGAAUCACUGGGCUUAAAGGGUGCGUAGGUGGGUUAUUAAGUCAGUGGUGAAAGCCUGCAGCUUAACUGCAGAAUUGCCAUUGAUACUGAUAGUCUUGAGUAUAGUUGAGGUGGGCGGAAUGUGUCAUGUAGCGGUGAAAUGCUUAGAUAUGACACAGAACACCGAUUGCGUAGGCAGCUCGCUAAACUAUAACUGACACUGAGGCACGAAAGCGUGGGGAGCAAACAGG